rnacentral:lncRNA from 1 species
AGCUGAGGGAGCCGGCUCCGGCCUUGGCCAGCCCAGAAAGGGCUGAAGGGCUCCUCAAGUGCCGCCAAAGUGGGAGCCCAGGCAGAGGAGGCGUCGAGAGCGAGUGAGGGCUGUGAGGACCGCCAGCACUCUGUCACCUCUCACUAUUACCAGUUCUGUUCCUUUGCUGCUUCUUCUGGUUGUCCAAUUCAACCAGCAUUGUUUUAUCUUUCUUUCUUGUCACAUAUAAUAUUUCAUAUCCUGUUUCUAAUCUGGAUUCGUCUUUCUCUCUACUUGGCCCUUGGGUUGCAGCCCCAUGUCUCUCCUGGCCGGAGGCACCAAGACCUGGUGUCUGUCCCAGGAAAGUUAACCAGCUGGUCCACUUGCCUAUUUACCACCUUGGAUUUUGAGGCCAGGUGACUGGUGAAGGAGCCAGGAUUGAUUUAAAGCAUAAGCUGAGUGAUAUCACUGCAACAAAUAGUUACUAAGUGACCCAUUUACAUGGUGGAGAAUGUUGAUUCUGUGAGAAGGUCAAAUCUAUCAGCUCAUUGGCUACAACAACAUUGAUGCAUUUUUUGCGCAAAGAUGGAGGCCUCCCUUUGUCUUCGCCAAAGCCAGUAGGAAUGUAAACUACAUGAGAGCAGAAACCUUGCUUGUCUCCAUCACAGUGCCUGGAACAGUGCCUGGGAAGUGGUGGUGGGUGCAGCACAAUCAAUAUUUGUGGAAUGAAUUGUUAUCGUUCAGCCCAGCAUGGUCAGUGGUUGUCAAAGGCGACAAUGCAUCGGUAUUGUCUGAAGAACUUUUCAAAUACCUGCUCCUUUCUAGGAUCCAGACACAGGAUAAGAAAUAUGCAGUCAUUGAAGAAAAGUCAGAAAAUAUAUAAAAGCAAAAAGAAGGAAGCAACAACAUUGGAAAUGGCCUGAAGCCACAGAUACAUGUGGGGAAUGACCUUUCCAUGCCUGUGUGGUUUAUUGGGAUUAUUGCUACUUCUUGUACAAAGAAGAUUUGAGUUAGCUGAUGAGGAU